GACGACGCUGGCGGCGUGCUUAACACAUGCAAGUCGAACGGAGUUACGUAUGAAGUAUUUCGGUACGGACUACAUAACUUAGUGGCGAACGGGUGAGUAACACGUGGGCAACCUGCCCUUAACCGGGGGAUAACAUUGUGAAAACAGUGCUAAUACCGCAUAACAGAGUAUCGGGCAUCCGAUAUUUUAAAAGGAGCAAUCCGGUUUAGGAUGGGCCCGCGUCCAAUUAGCUAGUUGGUGAGGUAACGGCUCACCAAGGCUACGAUUGGUAGCCGAACUGAGAGGUUGAUCGGCCACAUUGGGACUGAGACACGGCCCAGACUCCUACGGGAGGCAGCAGUGGGGAAUAUUGGGCAAUGGGCGAAAGCCUGACCCAGCGACGCCGCGUGAAGGAUGAAGGUCUUCGGAUUGUAAACUUCUUUGAUCAGGGAAGAAAGAAAUGACGGUACCUGAAGAACAAGCCACGGCUAACUACGUG
rnacentral:rRNA from 1 species